UUUUCAUAUCAUAAUUUAGUGCUCAAGUAUUAUAUUAGGUUAGUUAAAUUUAAAUGCGACAUGGAGUUAAUCAUGGAUUAAACUAAAUCUUGGACUGAAAGGUUUGUGUUCUGUAAUAAGCUUUUGAGUUCACUAGCUUCUACAAUUCAUCUAAGGUACAUACAUUAACUGGAUAAUGCUAUAUUAUAAAAAUUUCCAUGAUUUAAAAUAAUUAUUUUACUUUAUGCUAAUGAUGUUUGCAAUUGUUAUGAUAAUGCUAAUGAUGUUCACUAGCUUCUUCAUAUGAAUACUUAUUGUUCGUAGCUAAAGAACAAAUUUAUGUGUUCUCGUGGAUUCAAUCUUGAUUUAAAAUUUUAGUCUAGAUCAGAUUCUCCACUUUUCUACUUAACCUAUUCCUAAUUCUUCAAUAUUGAUAAUACUAAUAAGGAACAAAACAAUGACAACUAGAGUGAUGCAUAUAAGAAAAUAUUUAACCUUUUUGAAAUUAUAGAUA
rnacentral:lncRNA from 1 species